rnacentral:rRNA from 1 species
UGCCCACUGAUUAUUAAUUAAAGGGCUGCAGUAUUUUGACUGUACAAAGGUAGCAUAGUAAUUAGUCAUUUAAUUGAUGACUUGUAUGAAUGAUUGGAUGAAAUAUAAACUGUCUUAUUAAUAAAUUUAAAAUUUAAUUUUUUAGUUAAAAAGCUAAAAUUAAAUAAAAAGACGAGAAGACCCUAUAGAGUUUUAUUGAUUAUAAAAUAAUAUUUAAAUUUAUGUUAGGGAUAAAAUUUAAUUUGUGAUUAAUUUGGUUGGGGUGAUUAAAAAAUUUGAUAAACUUUUUUUAUAAAUAAACAUUGAUAAGUGAAUUUUUGAUCCAAUUUUAUUGAUUAUAAGAAAAAAUUACCUUAGGGAUAACAGCGUAAUUUUUUUUUUUAGUUCAUAUAAAAAAAAGAGUUUGCGACCUCGAUGUUGGAUUAAGAUAAAAUUUAAAUGUAGAAGUUUAAAAGUUUUGA